GUUGAUGUAGCUCACACGGUAGAGCAGUAGAUUCUUAAUCUAUUGGCUGGUGGUUCAAGUCCACCCUUCAAACC
rnacentral:tRNA from 1 species